rnacentral:rRNA from 1 species
UGAGUAACACGUGGGCAAUCUGCCCUGCACUUCGGGAUAAGCCUGGGAAACUGGGUCUAAUACCGGAUAGGACCUUUAGACGCAUGUCUUUUGGUGGAAAGCUUUUGCGGUGUGGGAUGGGCCCGCGGCCUAUCAGCUUGUUGGUGGGGUGAUGGCCUACCAAGGCGACGACGGGUAGCCGGCCUGAGAGGGUGUCCGGCCACACUGGGACUGAGAUACGGCCCAGACUCCUACGGGAGGCAGCAGUGGGGAAUAUUGCACAAUGGGCGCAAGCCUGAUGCAGCGACGCCGCGUGGGGGAUGACGGCCUUCGGGUUGUAAACCUCUUUCACCAUCGACGAAGGUCCGGGUUUUCUCGGAUUGACGGUAGGUGGAGAAGAAGCACCGGCCAACUACGUGCCAGCAGCCGCGGUAAUACGUAGGGUGCGAGCGUUGUCCGGAAUUACUGGGCGUAAAGAGCUCGUAGGUGGUUUGUCGCGUUGUUCGUGAAAUCUCACGGCUUAACUGUGAGCGUGCGGGCGAUACGGGCAGACUAGAGUACUGCAGGGGAGACUGGAAUUCCUGGUGUAGCGGUGGAAUGCGCAGAUAUCAGGAGGAACACCGGUGGCGAAGGCGGGUCUCUGGGCAGUAACUGACGCUGAGGAGCGAAAGCGUGGGGAGCGAACAGGAUUAGAUACCCUGGUAGUCCACGCCGUAAACGGUGGGUACUAGGUGUGGGUUUCCUUCCUUGGGAUCCGUGCCGUAGCUAACGCAUUAAGUACCCCGCCUGGGGAGUACGGCCGCAAGGCUAAAACUCAAAGGAAUUGACGGGGGGCCCGCACAA